GGUCAUUUGCCUGGACCAUGCUCGUAUCAGUCCAACAGGUACCCGAAUUCCAUAAGGUUUCUGCCUUUUGUAUGUCAAAAUGUGUUUAGUUUCUAUGACUUGUGAUGCAAGGAAGCAUUUUUUGAAGCAUGUGACUUGAGAUUUUGUCAGGCCGGAGAGACCAAUGUGAAAGACGGUUGCUUUUGGGCAGAAAGAAGUAUAUGUUCGCCCACGAACCGGUUGGGUGGACACUGCAAAGGCGAUGUGGGACAGGCAACCUCAGAAGGACACCGAAGACCAGACCAUUCUAGCUGGAGAACCACUUCUAACUGUUUCCAUCUUAUCUUACAAAUCUCCUGUUUUUUUGUCUUUGUGGGAGAUUAGAUUGUCCCACCAUGAAAGAAGUGGAAGUCUUUUUCUAAGCUUUGGUUUGUUCCCCCCCCCCCCCCUUCCCCUUUUUUUUACACAUCAAAUCAUCUUUGAGGGGUAACUUGUCUUUUAAACAUUCCAAACCUCAUAAUGGACAUGCAAUGUUAUUGGUUAAUGCCAUCCCGCCAUGAUUGCAAGAAAGGUCUUAAAAGAGGACCCUCCUAAACACCACCAUGGAGAAGAGAUCCUACAUUGGUUCCUCCAUUACUUAAGCCAUUUUUACCAUAUCUUCACUGUAAAAAAGUUGGGUCAGUGAGAAAGCUGUGGAAGAGAUUACAACAGGUAGUUUUUGUGUCAAAAAAAAGGAAAAAGAAAAGCAAGCUCAAAAGAGUAAAGGGCAUUGAGUUGCAGAGCUGAUAUAUAUAUAUAUAUUGUAGAUAUUAAAGGAGGCAGAUAAGGAGUGAAUUGAAAAUGGCAGGUUAUCAACCAAA